UUCUACUGUCGGCCUUAAUGGAUUUUAUUUUCAAUUAUGUUUUAUUCAAAGGGAAAACAGACACAUUGAAACAAGACAUUUAUGACUAGCUUUAUUUGGAAUGGAAUAUAGACAGGUUUCUGCAUCUUUACUAUUAACAGCUUAGAAAAUAUAAAACACAAUUAAGACCAUGCUACAUGUAUAUUAUGCUAAAUGUGAAUGGUUAUUUGUUAUAACAUGACUCUUUAGGUACACAGGUAUACAAUCUGUACAAAAUGGCGCCGGGUUCACAGUUAACAGUGUUACAAAACGUCUGGGAGGGCCGCAACCGAAAGCGUGAGGGCUAGGAGCGGAACUAUUCUUCUCAUGUUUUGUCACUUAGGCUCUUUUUUAUGAUUAGUGUUUUUUUUUACACGAAGUGACUAUGGAUUCCGUGGCAUCCAUAGAAAGAUAUUUGAAGUUAUUGGUUUUAAAUUAACUCAUGUUCUGUCGAGAUAUGGCGCGCUAGCUGCCGUUUUGACGUCACAAACGGAUCACGGAGGGGACUCGUUUGAGGUACAUUUGGUCAGACACGACUAAAAUAAUCUUUAGGGGGGGGAUUGGGAUAUUUGGUUUGGCUGUUUAAGAUUGGGCCCCUACUCCGAUGCAGCAAACAUUCCCACGACCCCACAACGUCAAAUGUUCAAUGGCUGCCUCCACACUCUUCCACACAUAUUCAAUGAUUCAAUGAAAGCAUGUUCGAUGAGGGAACUAGGGUGUUUCAUUAAACGAAAUGGAUGUACAGUUGAUAUUAAAUGUGGCGAUUAUUGGUCAGAAAAAUAUUAUUUUUGACGCAUAAAUUUGAAAACACAGAUCCAUGGAUUGUGUAGUACUCGCAGUAGGCACCAGAGGGCGCACUCACACCUCCAUCUGAACAUUGUCUUAACUUCAGCGCUACUAACUCACGGGACUCAGAUGACAUGCGUUUCUGUCACAUGCACACCUAUUAGAACCUCUUUAAUAGGUCCAUGAUUAGAACUAGUUCAGUGUCGUUAAUUGGUUUAAGUGUGCCGUAAAGCAUUGCUGUUUUUCUCUUAGCAUAAUGAAAAACAUUUAGUGGCUUUGUUACCUUUAAAUGACACUCAAAGGCAUAUUUUCACACAUAAUUUAGCUAUUUUUUUGUACAGAUAAUCAGGCAGUGAUAGUGAGCAUUUUGGCAAUGGGGAGAUUUACAAAUACAGUAGAACAUUAGUCAAACGUAGUGCGUUUUACUUUCUAUGAUAUAUGAGCCACUGUCAGUAAAAUCAUAUGUACCUUUAUUUAGUGUUAAGCUAUACACAAAUCUUAAAUGUUUCUUAAAGACGGACUAAUACAAUGACAAUUUUUGGCAUCCCCCAAAAAAUACACUUUAAUAGUCUUAUAUUGGUAUUCAUACUAAUUGUUGCUCAAAAUGGUUGCGAUUGUUUCCUUACUUAUACUAAAUGGGUAAUCAUUUUGAAUGUCAAUGAAUCAAUGGAAAAAUAUGUCACGUCAAAAAUAUUACACACAAGAAAAACAACACGGAAAACCAAAACCUGGUUCAAAUGAGAAUACUUAAAGAUAUAAAUACAAUAUACAAGAUAAUAAUCCUCCAACUCUUUAACUACAAGCACGGUUUCAUUCUCACAAAUACACCCAUACAACGGCAUGUGUGCGCAUACAGUGCAAUGCACAUCACAUUGAAAACAUGCCAGAUGCUAUGGGCUCCAAGAAUGUGAAUAGAUGUGUGAUUGUGUGUUUGUGCAUGUGUGUGUUCGCAGCCCAUUGCCCCGGUGAUACUGGUGGUGUUACUACUGGUGGUACUGCUAGGGGCGCCGCAGACAUGAGAUGUUGUUUUUCAAAGACAACCCUGUGGCUGAGGAGGUGGGUGGAGGUGGAGAAAGGUGUUGGUGGUGAUGGGGGUGUGUGUUGGGCAGGGUGGGGCGGGGCCCAGUCGAGUCCUGAGCAGCCUCUCUCUUUUCCUCUCUCUCUCCCUUUCUCUCUCACUCCCCCUCUUUCUCUAUCCCCCUAUUUCUCUAAUCCUAUCUCUCUCUCUCUCUCUCUCUCUCUCUCUCUCUCUCUCUCUCUCUCUCUCUCUCUCUCUCUCUCUCUCUCUCUCUCUCUCUCUCUCUCUCUCCCUCUCCCUCUCUCUCUCUCUCUCUCUCUCUCUCUCUCUCUCUCUCUCUCUCGUCACCCACUUCUGGUGCAGAGCUGUGGUCUCCCAGGCAUCUCGCAGCUGUUCCUGGAAUGGAGGCAAACAGAAACAACAACAUUGUCAGACAUUAUUGUUAAGAGAUACAGGUGGUUGUUUUACAGUUAAUUUUCAAUGGUAAUCCAUAGCAUCCUGUCUGCUGUGGUUUAUGGAUUGGAUAUAAAUGAUGCAUCAGUGCAUUGAUAUGAAACAUAUUUGUUACAAGCCGUUUUAUAUUAUUACCAGUAUGUCGCAGAGAUACUGGUCUGCAUUUUAAACUGAAACAAAGCCCCUCCAAUCUUUAUUAUUAGUAAUUAACAGAUAUAGAUAAAUGAGAUAUUUUUUUUUUGCAUUAAGCAUAUGGAUAAUAUAAUAAAACAAUUAGGUAUGAUUUUUUUCCAAAUGAUAGUUGACAGUAUAGAACAGUGUAUUACAUACGACUAUUCUACACUACAACUCUUGAUGGGUUAUUUGACAGAUAGUCAAUAAGGAUCGGGGACAUGCCUCCCUUGUUGUAUACUGAGCGUCUGAUUGACAGCGAAUGGAGGUAGAGAAAGCAUAAUUAUCAGUCUUUCAGCACAAGUUCAUCUGGGCCCCC
ensembl:lncRNA